AGCAUUGGAGCGAGAUCGUCGGUGGCGUCGAGUUAAUUGGAAGCGCGAAUUGUAAUUAAAAUUAUUGUAAAAUAUUGACGGAGAGGAAGACGAGGCCGACUCGACGGACGGACGAAAAACAGGCCGGAGCCUAUGUGGAAGACUAACCAGAGGACCAUCGCAGUCCUCACAUACAACCCCUACGUGCCAACGGAACUGGUAACAGCGUACCUAGGGAGCUGGACAGCAGGUGAUAUGCGUUCUCCAGAACCCCCCAGCUACCUGAAGGAGGAGGAGGAGGAUGAUGUGCCUUCAUGUGGUCUUGACUGCCAACACCCCAAAGGCAGGCUCCAGAACGUCAGCUUCCAGUGCAGGUCGAAUUCCCCUCGACUCUCCAGAUCUCCACAACCUGUGAGUGUGACCUCGGGGUUCGGGGUUCAGGUUUCAGAUUUGCGUUUGUCACAAGUUAUGUAAUUCCUUCCAGUGAUGUGAUGUAGCACUUUUCUUGACACUCCAUUCAUAAGCACUUAACAGGUAGCGGGGAUCCCUUCCACCACCACUGGCAGUGCGUCUCCCCAACAGUUCAGAGGUGGGGGAUAUUAGGAGGCCAGGACACCGGGGUAACACCCCUACUCAUUCUGAGAGAUGUCCUGGGAUUUUUAAUGACA